ensembl:lncRNA
AUGAAAAAGCCCACAAAGUGUGUGCACUCAAGACAUUGCCACAAACUGAGCGUCAGCGCAACAGGGUCAGGCCCAGAGCGAGAGCGCUGCUGGCCCCCGGGGCCCCCGGCGCCCACCCCGCCGUACGCCCGGCCCUGUGUGGCCCCCAGUGUCUUCCUGCUCACCUGUGACUUGGCCGUGCGGGCUUGUAGACGGUCCGCGCUCUUCGCUGUAAAGUGUCCCACGAACACUCACUUGUCCCGUCUAGGUGCCGAGUUGGCAGGGUUGGUCUCUUGGGAACAGUGCUGCCGUGACCCCCGCGCAGGCCUCCUCGGCGGUACUUGUCCGUGCGUGUGCUGAGUUCCAGGUGCGCCAGCGUUUGGAGGGCUCUGUGCCUUUGUCCACACAUGGCAGUGUUAUUUAGCGUAUUUAGGGAUAUUCCAGGGUUUCUGUCAUCGUGUUCCCCAAGUCAGCUAGAUUGAGGUACACGUGGCGGUGCGCGGGCGCUGGCUUACAGGACCCCGCGGGAGCUGCGGUCCCGUCCCGGCUCCGUGCUGAGUGGGGACGCGCCCGCUGCUUGAAAUCAGAUGCAGCGCAUCUAGACCAUGGAAAUUAAGAAACACUACAAAUCGGGGCUGUAUUUGGAGAGCCUGUUGCAAUUUACAUAAAACACGCGCCUCCUUCAAGUGUGCGGCCCGCUGGGCUUUGACCAGCGCGUAGCCCAGCCGCCUGUCACGCAGGGGAGACGCAGGACGUUUCUAGCUCCCCGCGCGUUCCCUUGGUCCGCUGUCCCCUCAGCCUCCCCCAGCGUGGCCCCAGGUAGCCACCGACCGGUUUUCUGUCAUCACAGCGGAGACUUUUUUCCUCCUAAGGAGUUCCUAUGUAUGAAGGAAUCAUAAGGCGUGUGUUUUCUUGUCUCUGGGUUCAUUAGUUCAGCAUGUUUUUGAGGUUCAAAUGGGUUGUGAUGUACAUCAAUCACAUGAUCUGUUAAUUGCCAAGAAUUGUUUGCUGUGUGGACAGCACAGUGGGCUCAUCUGCUCUUCUGCUGGUGGACCCCUGGGUGCUGGUCUGAGUAAACCUGCCAGAAGCAGGGCUGGGUUGUGUGGUGGAUUACGCUGUCCUCAGAAAUGCCAGACUUUGACAGAGCAGCUGUACCUUUUUUAUACUGUGACUAGCAGGGUGUGAGUGUUCCUGUAGGAUGAUGCCAUUUUUUCAUUACACGUUGGAUAGAACACACCAGUCAAGUCAUCUCAGCCUGGAAUUUUCGUGAGGGUUUAAAUCACAAAUUCAUUUCCUUCAAUUGUUAUGAGGCUGUUUGGGUUUUCUCUUUCUUGGUGAGUCAGUUUUAGUAAUUUGUAUCUUUCAUGGAUUUUUUUUCGUUUCAUCUAGUACUCCAGUGGCAGAGUAAAGUUGAUAAUGUUAAUGCCCUUCUAGUGUCUGUAGGAUCUGUAGUGAUGACCCCACUUUCCUUCCUGAUAAUAGUUUGUAUUUUCUCUCAUUUUCCCUUGAUCAUUGUAUCCAGAGGUUUAUCCAUUUUCAUUGGUAUUUUCUUUCUUUUUUAAUGUUUUAUUUAUUUUUGAUACAGAGAGAGAUGGAGCAUGAGAGGGGGAGGGGCAGAGAGAGAGGGAGACACAGAACCAGAGAAGCAGGCUCCAGGCUCUGAGCUAGCUGUCAGCACAGAGCCCGACGGGGGGCUCGAACCCACAAACUGUGAGAUCACGACCUGAGCCGAAGCCGGAGGCUCAGCCGACUGAGCCACCCAGGCGCCCCUUCACUGGUAUUUUCAAAGAACCAGAUUGGGUUUCAUUGGUUUUGUUCUCAAAAGUUUUGCCUCUGAGAAGGUUGUAGUUUGAUGCAGAGGUCUUUUGUUGGGAGUCGCCAUGUUGUCAGGACCAGGGGCCUCGUCCCUGCAGCCCAGGGUGGACCGUUCUGGCUUUUUAGCUUCUAGGGCCACCUUGUCACUUUUCUGUGAGUUCAGAUAUCAAGUUUGUUUAUUUUUAACCUAGUAUUUGUAAAGGGUGGUAGAUUAGCUCACCCUAGCGAGAUUUUUAAAGGGACAACUUCUAGGCUAAGGAAAAGGUGAGAUCCUAAGGGAGAUAGUGGGCCUCAGCUUGGACGCCAGCACAGAUGAGAAGAGAGGACAGGGCAGGAAGGGAAGAAACCGUACCGCACACCAUCUGCACACAAAGAACUCGAAUAAACUGCAGCGUGUCCUGAGCGCUGGGCCAGUGACGCGCAAGGCAGUUUUGAGAACUGGGGGGCUGAGAGCGCCAGGUGACGGGAUUGGAAACGAAGCUGUAACAGUCUGGACGGUGUAGAAACACCUGGGCACGGACAGGUCCCCACCAGUCAGCCACCCAGCAGGCAGUCCCCGUGGAGCAAGGUGGCCACACACCUGAGGGACAUGGGGGACAACCCCCUCCAGCUAGGUGUUGAGCUGACACCAGGUGAUGACAGGGCAGAAUCCUUGGCACAAAAGGCCUAAUGUGUCACCAGCACACUAGCCACGGCUGCCCUUUCAUGGCCCACGACUAGUUGGUGGUUGUGUGCCUGUCACUGUCCUUGCUAGAUCUUCAGUUGGGAGAAAGUUCACGUAGUCCUGCGCUGGCUCUGGCCUCGGUCCGACCGGCUAAGACUCUGUAUUGGCCUUACAAGAAUCUCGCCCUUUCGCUUAACACAGGGCGAGGUGGGCCCGUCUCCGCCUGGCUGCCCUGGCGUUCCCGCUGGAUCUGGGCGGUGUGAGGUCUCCCGCCCUCUGAGACAGGGAGGCCCCCCCGGGGCACUUGGGAGGCUUUUCUUGGUUUUUGUUUUGUCUGUCUUGAUUUUUUUUGAAAAAUUGAGGUGAAAAUGACAUUAACACAAAGUUAACCAUUUUAAAGGGAACAGUGGGUGGCAGUGAGCGUGUCUGUCGGUGUCGUGGGAUCCCCCGCUCCGUCUGGGUCUGAACCAUGUCAUCCCGUCAGAAGGAGCCCCGUACGCACGGUGCUGUCACUGCCCCCUCGCUCCGCUUCUGGGCCCCGCUGAUCUUCCUGUCUCUGCGGA